UUUGUAUUCUCAGUGUGGAGUAUUAUGGGGCAAGUGGAUAGAUAUUCUCAUUUGGCACCAGCCCUCUAAAUACACAUCAAAUUGAUGAGUAUACCUUGAGGCCAGCCUGGUCCAUAAUGCUAGUUCUAGGACAACUAAGGCUACACAAACCCUGUCUCGAAACAUUGAAUCCAAAUGAAUCCCACUGUGGGAGGAUGCCUGAAAGCCAGUGCAUACAAAUGCCACUUUGUAACAUCCCCUCCCCUCCAGCUGUGGUCAUGCCAGUCGUGGGUUUGGUUUGGUUUGGUUUUUUAAUGUGUAUGCAUGCAUGUUUUGUAUCGUGUGGUGCCUGAGGUGGUCAGCAGAGGGCAUGAAAUCCCUGCAACUGAAGUUAAUUACUUAGCACAGUUGUGAGCCACCAUGUGAGUGCUGGGAGUCAACUGGAUCUUACACAAAACCAACGACUCUGCUUACUGCAGAGCCAUUACUCCAGCCCCAUGGCUCUUGUUUAUGUGAUGGUAUGUUCAUUUGUUUUUCAUGACAGGCUUUCUAUAAGCCCAGGCUGUCCUGGAACUCACUGUAGACUAGGCUGGGCACCAGAAUAAGUGCUGGGAUUAAAGGUGUUCACCACCACUACCCCUACCCAGUUUUGUAUUCUCAGAUUAAGACUCCAUGGUCUAAAUGUCUAGAUGGCAAUAAAUAUUUAAAUCAAUGUAAAAAUCACUUGUAGAAAAAACGAAAAACACCGUCUUAAAACUCAAAUGGGAGAACUUGCUUAUUACCUGUAUUUUUUGUGGGUUUUUCUUUUUCUUUUGAGCUUAGGUUCUACACAGCCCAGAAUGGCUUUAAACCUGCCUCAGCCUCCCAAAUGUUGGGAUUACAGCUGUGUGCCUGCUUGUUUGUUCCUUUUGAGACCUGGUGUCGUUUCAUAUCUCCGGCUGUAAUGGAAGUCAGAUCCAUCUUAUUGCAGAGGAUUGGAAUUAAAUGCGUUCACUACC
rnacentral:lncRNA from 1 species